GGAUGCGAUGAUACCAGCACUAAAGCACCGGAUACCAUCAGAACUCCGAAGUUAAUCGUGCUUGGGCGAGAGUAGUACUAGGAUGGGUGACCUCCUGGGAAGUCCUCGUGUUGCAUCCC
rnacentral:rRNA from 1 species